GUGCUCACUUUGGCAGCACAUAUACUAAAAUUGGAACGAUACAGAAAAGAUCAGCAUGGCCCCUGCGCAAGCAUGACACGCAAAUUCGUGAAGUGUUAUAUUUUUUG
rnacentral:snRNA from 1 species